rnacentral:tRNA from 1 species
CGGUGAAUAGCGCAGCUUGUAGCGCAUCGUGGUUUGGGCAUAGGGUCGGGGGGUUCCGAAUCCCUCUUCACGACCA